rnacentral:rRNA from 1 species
GACGAACGCUGGCGGCGUGCUUAACACAUGCAAGUCGAACGGAAAGGCCAUGCUUUUGUGGGGUGCUCGAGUGGCGAACGGGUGAGUAAAACGUGAGUAAAAUGCCCUUGACUUUGGGAUAACUUCAGGAAACUGGGGCUAAUACAGGAUAGGAGAUACUGAUGCAUGGUGGGGGAUGGAAAGUUUCGGCGGUUGUGGAUGGACUCGCGGCUUAUCAGCUUGUUGGUGGGGUAGUGGCUUACAAAGGCUUUGAAGGGUAGCCGGCCUGGGAGCGUGACCGGCCUCAUUGGUACUAAGAUACGCACCAGUCUCCUACGGGAGGCAGCGGUCGAGAAUAUUGCACAAUAGCCCGAAGCCUGAGGCAGCGACGCCGCGUGCGUAAUGACGUGCUACUGGGUGUAAACCGCUGUCUCCUUUGACGAAGCGUUAGUGACGGUAAUUGGUAAAGAAGCACCGGCUAACUACGUG